rnacentral:rRNA from 1 species
AACGAACGCUGGCGGCAGGCCUAACACAUGCAAGUCGAACGCCCCGCAAGGGGAGUGGCGCACGGGUGAGUAACGCGUGGGAAUAUGCCCUUCGGUUCGGAAUAACACAGGGAAACUUGUGCUAAUACCGGAUACGAUCUACGGAUGAAAGAUUUAUCGCCGAGGGAGUAGCCCGCGUAGGAUUAGCUAGUUGGUGAGGUAAUGGCUCACCAAGGCGACGAUACUUAGCUGGUCUGAGAGGAUGAUCAGCCACACUGGGACUGAGACACGGCCCAGACUCCUACAGGAGACAGCAGUGGGGAAUAUUGGACAAUGGGCGAAAGCCUGAUCCAGCCAUGCCGCGUGAGUGAUGAAGGCGUUAGGGUUGUAAAGCUCUUUCGCCAGGGAAGAUAAUGACGGUACCUGGAAAAGAAGCCUCGGCUAACUCCGUGCCAGCCGCCGCCGUAA